UACAGAGGGUGCGAGCGUUAAUCGGAAUUACUGGGCGUAAAGCGCACGUAGGCGGCUUGGUAUGUCGGGUGUGAAAUCCCCAGGCUCAACCUGGGAACUGCGUCUGAUACUGGAUGGCUUGAAUCCGGGAGAGGGAUGCAGAAUUCCAGGUGUAGCGGUGAAAUGCGUAGAUAUCGUAAGGAAGACCAGUGGCGAAGGCGAGUCUCUGGACAGUUACUGACGCUGAGGUACGAAGGCCAGGGGAGCAAACGGG
rnacentral:rRNA from 1 species